rnacentral:rRNA from 1 species
ACUGCUCAGUAACACGUGGACAACCUGCCCUUAGGUUGGGUAUAAACCCGGGAAACUGGGUAUAAUACCCGAUAGGUCUCGAUUGCUGGAAUGCAUCGAGAUUUAAAGCUCCGGCGCCUAAGGAUGGGUCUGCGGCCUAUCAGGUAGUAGUGGGUGUAGCGUACCUACUAGCCUACGACGGGUACGGGUUGUGAGAGCAAGAGCCCGGAGAUGGAUUCUGAGACACGAAUCCAGGCCCUACGGGGUGCAGCAGGCGCGAAAACUUUACAAUGCUGGCAACAGCGAUAAGGGAACCUCGAGUGCCAGGUUACAAAUCUGGCUGUCGAGAUGCCUAAAAAGCAUUUCAUAGCAAGGGCCGGGCAAGACCGGUGCCAGCCGCCGCGGUAACACCGGCGGCUCGAGUGGUAACCGUUAUUAUUGGGUCUAAAGGGUCUGUAGCCGGCCGGAUAAGUCUCUUGAGAAAUCUGGCAGCUUAACUGUCAGGCUUUCAGGAGAUACUGUCUGGCUCGAGGCCGGGAGAGGUGAGAGGUACUUCAGGGGUAGGGGUGAAAUCUUGUAAUCCUUGAAGGACCACCAGUGGCGAAGGCGUCUCACCAGAACGGACCUGACGGCAAGGGACGAAAGCUGGGGGCACGAACCGGAUUAGAUACCCGGGUAGUCCUAGCCGUAAACGAUACUCGCUAGGUGUCGGCCACGGUGCGACCGUUGUCGGUGCCGUAGGGAAGCCGUGAAGCGAGCCACCUGGGAAGUACGGCCGCAAGGCUGAAACUUAAAGGAAUUGGCGGGGGAGCAC